UGUGUUUUCGUGUGUGUGCAUGUGGAUGUAUGUAUAUGAUUUUGCAUAUACAGACACAUGCACACACAUGCGGCACACAC
ensembl:miRNA Mir466g microRNA 466g